rnacentral:rRNA from 1 species
AUACGGAGGGUGCAAGCGUUAUCCGGAAUCAUUGGGUUUAAAGGGUCCGUAGGCGGACUAUUAAGUCAGAGGUGAAAUCCCACAGCUCAACUGUGGAACUGCCUUUGAUACUGGUAGUCUUGAGUUAUAUGGAAGUAGAUAGAAUGUGUAGUGUAGCGGUGAAAUGCAUAGAUAUUACACAGAAUACCGAUUGCGAAGGCAGUCUACUACGUAUAUACUGACGCUAAGGGACGGAAGCGAGGGGAGCGAACAGGAUUAGAAACCCCAGUAGUCC